rnacentral:rRNA from 1 species
AAAUGAAUUGACGGGACCCCGCACAAGCGGUGGAUCAUGUUGUUUAAUUCGACGAUACGCGAAGAACCUUACCAGGUCUUGACAUGCUCUGCAAAGGCUUAGAAAUAAGUACGGAGGUUAACAGAUGCACAGGUGGUGCACGGUUGUCGUCAGCUCGUGUCGUGAGAUGUUGGGUUAAGUCCCGCAACGAGCGCAACCCUUAUCGUUAGUUACCAUCAUUAAGUUGGGGACUCUAGCGAGACUGCCAGUGACAAACUGGAGGAAGGUGGGGAUGACGUCAAAUCAUCAUGCCCCUUAUGACCUGGGCUACAAACGUGAUACAAUGGCUGCUACAAAGAGAAGCGAAGGGGUGACCUCAAGCAAAUCUCAAAAAAGCAGUCUCAGUUCGGAUUGAAGUCUGCAACUCGACUUCAUGAAGUCGGAAUCGCUAGUAAUCGCGAGUCAGCAUAUCGCGGUGAAUACGUUCUCGGGGUUUGUACACACCGCCCGU